UUUUUUUUUUUUUUUUUUUCGUGAAACAGGGUUUCACCAUGUUGCCCAGGAGGCUAAGGCUGCAGUGACCCAUGAUCGCACCACUGCGCUCUAGCCUGGGCAACAGAGUGAGACCCUGUCUCAAUAAAUAAAUUAAUUAAUUAGUAAUAAAACUAAUAUCAUAAUUCUGGCAUUCCCUUGAUCCCCAAAUAAAGAAAAUAAGCCAAGUUAGAUGGACACACAUAGUAAUAAAUUUCUGUAAGUUUAAAAAGACUAGACUAAAACAUAGACUGCUUUAUGCAUCUUUUUUCAAAUUAGCAUUUUCUUCUGUAGGUCUUCAUUCUCUGCAUGGCUUUGCUCAGGCUGUUCCCUCUGCCAGGAAUGCCCUUGCUUUCUUUUCACCCGAUGCAAACUGCUGCUCCAACCGCCCAGAAUCAGACUAAAGACCAUCUCCUUUAUGAAGCUUUCCAAGACCUCCUAGAGUAGUUAAUAUGUAUUUCCUUCCUUUGUGUUCCUGCUAUGAUCAUUCAUAACUCUACUACAGCCCUUAUUCUUUGUGUUUUAUCAUCUGUGACUGUUCCAACAGCUCUUUGUCUCCACAGUGCUUAUUAUUAUUAGCACAGUGUCUGGCAUAUAUUAGGUAUUCAAAUACUUACUGAAUAAACCAACCACGAGGAGCUGAAGAAUCUGAGCAGGGAGGAAUGAACUCACAUGAAUAUUCCUAGGUACUGUGCAAUGUAAGUUAUAGAGAUUGGUAGCCAUCAAGCAAGUAUUUGCUGAAGUGUCAGUAUCAUGGGAAUUCUAUUCAAACGCCAUACAAUUUGUGCAGUAAGAAACAAAGGACUAAAAAUUAAAUCUCUUUACUAUAUUAUAUAAUUGAUGUCAUCUUUCAAAAAUAACUGCUACUUUCCGUUAAUUUCAACUGAUUAAAAAUGGUCACUUAUCCUGCGAAAGCAGUACUUGAUGGAGACAGCGUUUUUGUUUGAAGAGUCCAAUGGCUGUUUAUUCUGCAAGAAAGAGGUGAUAAGUACCUGUAACUUACUGACCUGCUGGAAGUAGACAAAGAAGCUAGAAAAUUAGAUUGUGUUGACUUCUAAUUCCUAUUGUCUAGGUAAAUUUUCACAAGUCUCUUCUUUUUCCCUUUUGUUUGCUAGGGUAAUUAAAAACAAAUCAAAAGACAAACAGCCCAGGGAUAUCAGGGAUACGGGCUCUAACUGUGAAGAGCCCUGUAGGAAUGCAGAGGACUUACAUUAGGAAUGCUUACUUUGUCCUUACUGUGUUCCACUUUAGAAAGAGUAAACAAAUGCUGUCAGCUUUCCUUUACUCACGUUUUCCAAAGUGACUCAAGUUUAAUUAUCAAACUAAACAUUACAUUAUUUUUUAAAGGAUUUAUUCAAUUUCUUCAAAUAGGGAAUUCAUGGAAAACUAAAACCAUUUCAAAAUUCACUUUGUCCACCAAACUUAGAGUCCAAAUUGGCACAAAUAAAGAACGUGGUUUUCAAAUCUGCCUGACCGUCAAGAAAACAAAGUUCUUAUAUUUCAAGCCAAAGUAACUGGUAACACUGAACUACUGGGUUUACAUUGGAGACCGUCCCAUUUAAUUUCCAGGGUGGUGGGACAAAAUGGGCUCAGUUCUUACAUAGCACACUACACAUGUUUUAAAAUACAAAACUUACAUUGUUGCUCCCCAAAUAAUUGCUAUUCCUAACUUGAAAAAUGACUCCAUUUAGCUAGUGCCAUGACACAAAGUAAUGAGAUCUGGUUUCCUAUGGAAUUGAAUUAUGUGAUGGCAAACUACUUGAGUGUUUACAUCACUGGCCACCAUAUCCUUCUAAUUCUAAAAUUAAUUAGAUUGUACAUGUUAAAACACACCAGAAUCAGGUUUCUGUGUUCUGUUGUUUUAAGGCUUCACUUUCAGUAGCAAAAGCAAUAGGUCAAUCCAUUUCCUUUUGUGAGUAAAUAUAGAUUAUUGCUUUCCAACAUUUUUUACUCUGAUGUUCAAGUCACACUGUACUUCAAAAUGCAGGACAGCAACUAAGAGGAAUUUGCCAUCUGGCUAACUCAUCUAUAUUUCAAAUAAAGACUUAUUUCUGGCCAGAAGGCACUUCUACCAAGAUACAGUUAUUUAGAUUUUUAAAAAUUUAGCUGACUUUUCCUAUAUCAUAAAAUUUAUUUAGAGAACAACAACUACUAACAGAGAGCCCGCUGUUAGUAUUUAUUACUAGGCAAAGUGAAGUCAAUCUUCUAACACCAAAGCUUAAUUAACAUAUUCCGGUAGCAAAGGAGACUAAAAGAAUCUAAAAACUAAACCACAGAAAAAGAAAUUUAAUCCAUAUUUUAAAUGUUUAUCAUAAGGAGCAAUUUGCAAUAACCUUUCAGGCAUCUAUGAAACACAUACAAUAAAAAAUUCAGCUUUGCAAUAAUCUUUCAGGCAUCUAUGAAACACAUACAAUAAGAAAUUCAGCCAGGCAUGGUGGCUCACACCUGUAAUCCUAGCACUUUGGGAGGCUGAGGCAGGAGGAUCGCUUGAGGUCAGGAGUUCAAGACCAGCCUGGCCAACAGGGUGAAACCCCAUUUCUACUAAAAAUACAAAAAUUAGCUGGCUGUGGUGACAUGUGCCUGUAAUGCCAGCUACCUGGGAGGCUGAGGCAGGAGAAUCGCUUGAACCCAGGAGGCGAAGGUUGCAGUGAACUGAGAUUUCACGCCGCUGCACUCCAGCCUGGGCAAUAGAGCAAGACUCCGUCUCAGAAAAAGAAAAAAAAAAAAGAAAAGAAAUUAAGGCCUGGUGCACUAGCUCACACCUGCAAUCUGAGCACUUUGGGAGGCCAAGGCAGGAUUGUUUGAGCCCAGGAGUUCAAGACCUGCCUGGGCAAGAUGGUGAGACCCCAACUCUAUUAAAAACAAACAAACAAACAAACAGACAAACAGGCUAGGCACAGUGGCUCAUGCCUGCAGUCCCAAAGCUGUGGGAGGCCAAGCUGGGAGCAUCACUUAAGGCCAGGAAUUUAAGACCAGCCUGGGCAACACAGUGAGACUCUCUCUCUACAAAAAUAUUUAAAAAUUAGCCAGGUGUGAUGGUGCACUACUUAGGAGGCUGAAGUGGGAGGAAGGCUUCAGCCAAGGAGUUCCAGGCUACAGUGAGCUAUGAGGGCCAUUGCACUACAGCCUGGGCAACAGCACAAGACCGACCUUGCCUGGCGAGGGGGAAAAAAAAGAAGUUAAAAAAAAAGUAUUGAUUUAUUUAUCUUUCCAUAGCACAAGGGCAGGGUCUCAAAUGUGCAUUUAUCUUGAAUUCACCUAUACACACUAGAAGAAAGAUAACUAAUUUAAAUAUCGGUUCCCUUAGCUGAUCCUCAUUCACAUGCACCUCUCUGAAUAUAAAUACUUCCCUCACUAUGCAUGAAUGAUUGUAUUCAUUGUAUUUUUUACAUAUUGUGACUCCUAAAUACAAACCAACAACUUCAUCUGGGGCUCACAGGAAGAAAAACAGCAGUUUUUUCCAAAGCCGAAAUAAAACUUGCCUGAGGAUAUAGAGAAAAAAAAAA
ensembl:lncRNA novel transcript, antisense to FAM192A